rnacentral:rRNA from 1 species
AUCUACCUAGUAGUAUGGAAUAGCCAUUAGAAAUGAUGGGUAAUACUGUAUAAUCCCUGCGGGGGAAAGAUUUAUCGCUAUUAGAUGAGCCUACGUUAGAUUAGCUAGUUGGGAAGGUAAUGGCUUACCAAGGCUAUGAUCUAUAGCUGGUCUGAGAGGACGAUCAGCCACACUGGAACUGAGAUACGGUCCAGACUCCUACGGGAGGCAGCAGUGGGGAAUAUUGGACAAUGGGCGAAAGCCUGAUCCAGCUAUGCCGCGUGAGUGAAGAAGGCCUUCGGGGUGUAAAACUCUUUC